rnacentral:rRNA from 1 species
CUCCUGGGAAGUCCUCGUGUUGCACCCCUCUCUUUUUCUUCGCGUUUUUUUCGUUGGGGUUGUCGUUUGCGGCGGUCCAGCACGCUCGCUUUGGAGGCUUAGCCCGCCCCAGGCCAAAAGCACGAGCCGCAGAUCUCGUUUUGGGUGCUAAAGCGUCACGGGGACGUCGAAAUGCGCGGAAGCCCCUCGGGCUGCACCUCUCCGGCGUUAAGGUGCAUCGUUGCGUUCGGAUCCUUUUAUAAGAAUUAAACGCGCUUAUGCUGAUGGGUGCGAUCAUACCAACACUAAUGCACCGGA